rnacentral:lncRNA from 1 species
AUGAAUUUUUUUUCAACUUCCUUUCAUUUGUCCUGUUUCCUGCAGAUAUUUAGCUUGUCUGUUUCCUCUUUCUACCUUCAUACAUCAUCAAGAAGGAUUUGGUGGCAGUUACUGAAUUUGAUGAAUCUGACUGAAAUUUCUUUUCUGGGUUGUGUGUUACAGGGGUUGCUUGAGGAGGUAUAUAUGAAUGGACUGCUGGCCUUGUUUUCAGUGGGGAACGUGUAGAAAGACCACAGAGGUUAGGAUAAGAAGGAUUUCUGCAUGUUAAACAUUUUCUGUCACACAAUGGGGAUAAUUUUGUGUCUAAGAUCUCCAGUUUCCAGUGGUAGGUGGUGGAGGAAAUUCUUUGCUCCUUUUCUUAAUGGACACCCUAGCUGUGCGUUGGUGAUUAUUUUUUUCCUUAAGCUAAAAGGCAAAAUUGAGAGUGUCAGAGGGUGAAGUACUAACCUGCUUUACAUUACUGCAAGUUGUUGCUAUUGAUCUUGUGCUGGUUAUGGUAGUUUUUUAUCCUUGUUCUAUAGUUUUCCAAUUUCUCUCUCUUUUGCAGCUCUUACCUCCCAGCUGUGCUCAAUUUUACAUCAGUCCUGGAAAAAACUUGUCAAACAGAGUCUACAUUUUGCUUUCCUAAAUUCAUAUCUGUGUGCUCCAGCUUUCCAAAGAAUCUUUUCUGUUUGCUCCAUGAUUUAGUCCUUUCUGUGACUUUCUGAGAAGCAGUGGAAAGGCAAACUAUCAUUGCAGACCAUUUGCCUGUCUGGCAAGGGAAAUGGCGUGAUUUAAAUGUGGCUGAGCUAAAGCAAUACUAAAACCUCCAGGAAAAUUCUAACAUUUGUUCGGAUGUUUUUGUUUAUUUUUGGAGUUGUGGAAUAUCCAUGAUUGUCAAUGCUUUGACCUUCACUUUGAAGAAUGUCAUAUUUGUGCCAGCAAACUCAACUGUCAAUAUUUUCAUUUCACACAUCCUUAUAGAAGUUCAUAACUGAUCUAUAAAAUUACACAUACUGAGCAUAUGUAGUCACAGGUAGGAAAGGAUUUAAUAAAUAAAUACAUUAAUACA